CCUACGGGAGGCAGCAGUGGGGAAUAUUGCACAAUGGGGGAAACCCUGAUGCAGCAACGCCGCGUGAGCGAUGACGGCCUUCGGGUCGUAAAGCUCUGUCCUAAGGGAAGAAUACUGACGGUACCUUAGGAGGAAGCCCCGGCUAACUACGUGCCAGCACCCGCGGUCAUACGUAGGGGGCUAGCGUUAUCCGGAAUUACUGGGCGGAAAGGGUGCGUAGGCGGCCCUUCAAGUCAGAGGUGAAAGGCUACGGCUCAACCGUAGUAAGCCUUUGAAACUGUAGGGCUUGAGUGCAGGAGAGGAGAGUGGAAAUCCCAGUGGAGCGGUGAAAUGCGUAGAUAAUGGGAGGUACAGCAGAUGCGAAGGGGUCUCUCUGGCCUGUAACAGACGCUGAGGCACGAAAGCGUGGGGAGCGAACAGGAUUAGAUACCCCAGUAGUC
rnacentral:rRNA from 1 species